UCCGUCAAUUCAAUUAAUCAAAUUUAGGACCACAUAUAAUUCAUCUCCGUCAAUUCAAUUUAUCAAAUUUAGACCACAAAAUUCAAAUAUCAAAGUUCGUAUCCAAUAUAAUUUGCCAUCAAUUCAGUUUAUCAAAAUUCUAACCACAUAAUCCAAAUAUCAAAUUUCAUAUCCAAUGGCAUUCUCCGUCAAUUCAAUUAAUCAAAUUUAGGACCACAUAAUCCAUCUUCCUCAAUUCAAUUUAUCAAGAAUCCAAUUAAACAAGAAUCCAAUUUUCUUCGCUAAAAUCUCAAACACCACAAGAAAAAUCCAAUUUUCUAGAAUAGUAGAUACUGCACAAAAAUUGAAUCAAAUGGAAAAAUAAAGAAAGAAGAAAGAGAAAUGAACCAAAAUCAAAUUCAUAAGAAUUACCUCGAGAGAUUGCAGAUCCGUUGAAUGUCGAAUCAAGAAACUAUCUAUUGUUUGUAAUUUUUCUGGGUUUUGAAGAUUCUUCAUGAACACUGACGCCAAACACGAAUCGAGAUGGAGAAGGGAUUCCCGAAUUCACCGUCGUCGUACAAGAAAUGGAAGGUUGUGGAUUUGGN
rnacentral:lncRNA from 1 species